GAUGAACGCUGGCGGCGUGCUUAACACAUGCAAGUCGAACGAUGAAGCUCAGCUUGCUGGGUGGAUUAGUGGCGAACGGGUGAGUAACACGUGAGUAACCUGCCCUUAACUCUGGGAUAAGCCUGGGAAACUAGGUCUAAUACCGGAUAGGAGCGCCUACCGCAUGGUGGGUGUUGGAAAGAUUUAUCGGUUUUGGAUGGACUCGCGGCCUAUCAGCUUGUUGGUGAGGUAAUGGCUCACCAAGGCGACGACGGGUAGCCGGCCUGAGAGGGUGACCGGCCACACUGGGACUGAGACACGGCCCAGACUCCUACGGGAGGCAGCAGUGAGGAAUAUUGCACAAUGGGCGAAAGCCUGAUGCAGCGACGCCGCGUGAGGGAUGACGGCCUUCGGGUUGUAAACCUCUUUCAGUAGGGAAGAAGCGAAAGUGACGGUACCUGCAGAAGAAGCACCGGCUAACUACGUG
rnacentral:rRNA from 1 species